rnacentral:rRNA from 1 species
AUGAACGCUGGCGGCGUGCCUAAUACAUGCAAGUCGAGCGAACAGACGAGGAGCUUGCUCCUCUGACGUUAGCGGCGGACGGGUGAGUAACACGUGGAUAACCUACCUAUAAGACUGGGAUAACUUCGGGAAACCGGAGCUAAUACCGGAUAAUAUAUUGAACCGCAUGGUUCAAUAGUGAAAGACGGUUUUGCUGUCACUUAUAGAUGGAUCCGCGCCGCACUAGCUAGUUGGUAAGGUAACGGCUUACCAAGGCAACGAUGCGUAGCCGACCUGAGAGGGUGAUCGGCCACACUGGAACUGAGACACGGUCCAGACUCCUACGGGAGGCAGCAGUAGGGAAUCUUCCGCAAUGGGCGAAAGCCUGACGGAGCAACGCCGCGUGAGUGAUGAAGGUCUUCGGAUCGUAAAACUCUGUUAUUAGGGAAGAACAAAUGUGUAAGUAACUAUGCACGUCUUGACGGUACCUAAUCAGAAAGCCACGGCUAACUACGUG